UCGAAUGCAAUUUUUUAAAAAUCUUUUAUUUUUUUAUUUUUUUAUUUUUUGCUCAGCAUAUCUGAAUGGCUACCCAGCAGGUACAGUUAGGACAGGACACAAAGGAACAUGAAUGAGCAGGAUCUUGGUGGAUUAUUUUAUCUUGAAUGUCCUUGGAAAGAAGCCAUUAUAAAAUGCUGGUUCUCCUCUGUUUACUGCUCUAGUUGGCAGCAUGAACCUGGGAGAGGGUGCCUGAAAAUGAGGGGGACCUUUUGGGUCAUGCAAUAGCCAGCCAACUCUAUUCAGAGCUUCAGACCACUUAUACUCUAAGGGUUAACAAGAGUCAGUGGAGGAAAGUGUAGAACCAAUCACAAGGACAAGCCACGCAUGGCAAAAACAUGUUUCUCUAAAGAGGCAUAUAAACAAAUAACAAUAGGCAGUUGUAAGGGAUAAUCUGAAGUGAAAUCACUCCUCCCCAUGCACCUGGGAGGACAUGAAAGCACAUUCCAAGAACAACUUAUGCUAUGGAGGAACAGAGAUUACAAGACUCUUGUUUACCUGGAGUUUUCUCACAAGGUCUCAGAAAUCUCCUCCCACAGCUUGGUUCAUGAACCAUGUUCCAACACUCCUCCCUGGUGCUGGUGAGCACAUCUGCUGCAGGGGUAUUAGAAGACAAUGGCUAACAUGGCAUCAAACAGUUCACACCAAAUCUCACCUAGAAUUAGAAACUAAUCCUUUUGGGUUUUGUUUUUGUUUUGAGACAGGGUUUCUCUAUGUAACAGUCCUAGCUAGUUGUCUUGGAACUCACUUUGUAGACUAGGCUGGCUUCAAACUCACUGAGAUCCACCUGCCUCUGCUUCCCAAGUGCUGGGAUUAAAGGUGUGCACCACCAACACCUGGAAAAACUAAUUAUUUGUAUCCAAACUUUGAAACACUUGGAUGAAGCAGGUGAACAAAUUUCUUCCACAGUAGUUUUCCUGUCAGACCUACAGAUGGUCUUUGUGUAAACUUUCUCUCUAGCAGUACUUUCUCAGGUCCCAUCAUAAUGUGGUUAUUCUCCAGGGUCCUGGGGAGCUUGGGUGAGAGAUGCUGAGGCCCAGCCACUGCUACUGAAAAGGGACAUGGCAUAGAGUGAGCACAGUUGGCAGAGCCUCUUCUUGAGCCUGGCUAGAGGUGGGUUAGCAAUUCUGAUGUCAUUCGAGAGAAGACUAUUUGAGGAGGGGACAGGAGUAGUCAUUUACUGCAUGAGCGUUUCAGAAAAGCCGGGAUUCAGUUCUCUUCUUCUACCAUGUGGGUCCCAUAGGCAAAGUUGGGUAAUCGGGCUUGGUAGUAAGCAUCCACUGAGCCAUCUUGAAUGCACUGUAAAUUAUUUUGAGUGACAAUUUAUUCCAUUUCUUGUAGGUAGAGUUUUUCCACUGGACUGCCAGCUCUCAACCACAUAGAGACUUAUUAUUAGUUAUAAAACAAGCUUAGGCUUGUUUUUAGCUAGCUUUUAUAACUUAAAUUAACCAAUUUCUAUUAAUCUAUGUGCUACCCCGAGGCUCAUUUACCUCAUCUAUGUACUUUCCAUGCUGCUUCUACCGAGUCUGGCUAAUCACUCCCCAGACUCCUCCCUUCUUCUCCCCAGAAUUCUCUCUGCCCCCCAAGCCCUGCUACUGGCUGUUUAGCUUUUUAAUAAACCCAAUCAAUGUGACAUAUAUUCACACAGUGUAAAAGAAUAUUCCACAACUUCUUUCAUUUCUCUACUAGAUUGCAAGAUCCUAGAUCUUGAAUCUUACUCUCCUUUGUAGCCUUGACUAUAUGCUCUUUUCUGAUUUUUUUUUUUUUUACUACAGAAGAGAUUUUCUGUAAAUACUAAGUGGGUAGCAUGAAAAUGAUAGUGGGGAAAACAGUGGGCAGAAUUGGAUGUAUAAUUGGUUGGUCACAGUGGGGAGGGGAAAUACGAGAGCAGACAUCUAGGAUUUUAAGAUGGUAAUAGUGGAGCAUCGGUGUCAAUAUAGGGCCCUCUGAGUCCUGUGUCUCUCCACAGCCACACACUCCUGCAGCCCCCUCAGCGGCUGACUUUGACCUCACAACUCCGAAGCACCUGAGUGAUUUAAAAGGCUAGGAUGCAGGGAGACGGCUACCAUGUGAUACCCAGUCAUUCUCCUCCUAGACGAGGGUAUGCUUUGUUGCACAGUUGACCACAUAAGAACUACAUUUCUGAAACUUGAACUCAGUGUUCUCUCUGGCCGAACAGUAGAAAAGAUGUGUGCAGGAUCCAAGUAGAAGAGCCCCUCGGGUGCCGGCUGUUGGUGGCGCACGCCUUUAAUCCCAGUACUCGGGAAGCAGAGGCAGGCGGAUCUCUGUGAGUUCGAGGCCAGCCUGGUCUCCAGAGCGAGUGCCAGGACAGGCUCCAAAGAUACACAGAGAAACCCUGUCUCAAAAAAACCAAAAAAAAAAAAAAAAAAAAAAGAGCCCCUCGGUCCAUCUUCCCAGCUCUGUGAUCCCGUAGCCCAGUUUCAGCCAUAAAAACAUCCUAAGAGACUCAGCGUGCCAGAGCACAGUUGGAAGGGCUCUGGGUCCCUGAGAGGCACGAUGUAUGUGAAACAGACACACUCAGAAACACAGCACACCUCAGAGCAGUGGCUCAAAUCAGUGGGGGGUCCCCUAUCACAGAUUUGUCGACAAAUACAUUGCUGACAAUAAUAUGAUAAAAACAUCUCUUUUCAUUCACCCAGCAGCCAGUCACAUGGCCCUCUAGACCAGUGGUUCUCAACCUCCCUAAUGCUGCAACCAUUUAACAUGGUUCCUUAUGUUGUGGUGACCCCCCCAACCAUAAAGUUGAAAUAUCAUUGCUACUUCAUAGCUGUAAUUUUGCUACUGUUUAUGAGCCAUAAUGUAAAUAUCUGUGUUUUCUGAUGGUCUUCAGUGAUUCCCGUAAAGGGUCCAAUGGGGUCAUGACCACAGGUUGAGCAACACUUCUCUACACUCAGCCAAAGCAGGAACAUGCCUGCAGGUCUCUGAGUAUGACAGAAAUAGACUUAAGGUCAGGUCCAAAGAAGGAGCUUGGGUUAGCAAGGGAGUGAACCACGCUCAGGCCUGAUCUAAAUCUGCUCCCUCCCAAGAAACUCAAUGGUUCUCAACUUGUAUGUCUUGGCCCAUUGGACCCUUCCCAGGGGUCACGUGAGACCAUCAGGAAACACAGACUUUUUGCAUUAUGAUUCAUAACAAAAGUUGGGAGGUCACCACAACACGAGGAAGUGUAUUAAAGGGUCGAAGCAUUAGGAAGGUUGAGAAGCGCUGAGUUAAAUUAAGCUUGCCUUACCCUAAAUUGACCUAGUAAGAUAAUAUAGUCUUAAAACUAGUGGCUGAAACCUGGCUAAUCAUGAGUUUUCUGCAAGCCACAGACUACAAACUAAGGAAAUAUGUUCAUUUAAGACACAUACCAAACUGCACGCUAUCUCUGUCCUUCAGCAGCAUCUUCUGACUGUGUGAUAGAGUUCUCUGGAUCUCCUUCACCACAAGUACCAUCUGCUUUGUCAGUCUGUCCCCUGCUCAGAUAAUCCCUCUUGAAUGUGUCUAACAUUUUUCUUCCUAAGAGAUAGAAGUCAGAAGUGAGAUCUCAAGCAGAAUUCCAGGAGUGCUGGUGACUCAACAGAGCUGCCUGGUCAGGGCCCAUUGUGCCCUUGGCCUCUCCCAGCCACUGGAGGUCAGGGGUGAGUGGGUUCUCUCUUGGAUCCUGAACUCCAAAAACCUGUGUUUUGAGCUCUUUGGGUUGAGUUGAGCAACUCUUAGAUUAGACUGGUCUAGAAUGAGCUACAUCCAGUAUCUAACUGCAUCAGAGCCAUUGGAAGCCUUGGCUGGGUACAUUUUGAUAAUGGGCUUAGCUAAUUACAGUCAUCUUCUGGGAUUCCAGAUAAUUUUAUGUAUAAGAAUUUUAGACCUAGACUUUAUAUAAACUAAGGGAAAUGCUUUGCUCAUUUAGAGAUUGAAUCAUGCUAAAAAGUAUCAAUGGACCAGACACGGUGGUGCUCCUCUUUAACCCCAACACUGGGGAGGCAGAGGCAGGCUGAUCUGAGUUCCAGGACAGCCAGGGUUACAUAGAGAGACCCAGGAUGAGAAAGCCAGUCUUGUUUGCCUUUGCUUGGGAAGGUCAACAGUGUACCCCAAGGCUUCACUGAAGCCCCCCCACUGUCCCCAACAAUGACUGAGGACUUAGCACCCCAAAAGUUUUCUCUGGUCUACAACCAAAAGACAAUUUCGAGGCCCUUUUGGGCUUGUAGGAUGAUGUAGAUUCUGGGUUCAGCAUGUUUUCUCAGUAGCCUCAUCUUUCUCAUUAGAAAGAACCACAGCCUUUGUUCUAGGAAGAGACUUGGGGUAGCCCUUUAACCAAAUGACAUUGGGAUCUGGCUCUGGUUUUAAACCUGUUAACCUUACUUGUCCAUGAACAUGAUAGUCAUGUAGUUUUAUGCCAGAAUGUAGCAACACCUAUGCCCCUGUGUAUUAUAAUGUACAAUUAGAGUAGCAAAGGCAUGUCUAAAUUAUUUAAAAGUACUAUCAGCAGCAACCAUAUUGGCAGAAGCUUCAUUCAACGUGGCGUUGGGAGAUAAAACUUAUUUACAAGUGCUCACAUUCUGUGGGAAGUCCACUAAAAUCCAACCAGCUAUUUUUGAUCAGCCGACUAGCAACUCCUGCAACUUUUCUGCCUCCUUCCAAUCUCCAUCUAAAAUGUUGGGUUUUAGACUGCCUCUGUUGUCUUUAUCUGGAUGAUGGUACUUAACCACACAUAGUGAGCGAGAACCAAGUCAAUCCAGUGACAUCACAUAAGCAAUUACUCAGCCAUCAGUGGUGGGUCUCAGGUCUUGGCUAUACAAAGCUGGGAAGCACAAUAUAUCUUUUUUUGUUCCUGGUUUUUGUUUGUUUGGUUGGUUUGGUUUUUCCAGAUAGGGUUUCCUUGUGUAGUUCCAGCUGUCCUGGAACUCACUCUAUAAACCAGGCCUGCCUCUGUCUCCUGAGUGCUGGGAUUAAAGGUGUGGGCCACCAACGCCCAUCUUAGGUAUCUCAUGGGUAGGUUUUCUAUAUUUGGUAGCAAUUUCAUUGGGUUUUUGUUUUGUUUUUGCUUCUCCCUUCCCCAAUGCUGGGAAUCCAAUCCAGGCCAUAGUAUAUGCUACACAACUGCCUUAUUACGGAGCCACAGCCCAGCCCCAAAGUGGGCAUUUGCAGGGGUGUGGGUGGGUAUCUUGUGCACUGAAUUAAGUCUAUUUUUUUUUUCUCAUUAGAUGUGGUUCUGUGCCCUUGCAGCAUACAGGAGCUACAGGAAAGUGAUUUUUCUCCCUGGACUUUGCUCAGGAGCCCUGUGUACUCAUAGGCAAACAAUUUUAACUAUCUCUGAUAAACAUUCUCUUUUCCAGCCACUAUGGGGGCAUGUAGGGCCAGCAGAGAAUGUGGGUCCCCUGUCAGGCAUCCACAACUGCAUUAGAUGUUACUCCACUCUCCUGCCUCUCACAUUCCUUCCCCUGAAAUGUUUUGCCAUUUGUUAAAUGGGAUACACUCUGAGAAAUUCAUCAGCAGGUAAUAUUAGGUAUGAAUACCAUAGAACAUGUUUAUAUAGUAUAUAUAGGAUAGCCCAUAGUAUAGUAUAGCCCAUAAAAGGCUAUGUAAAGUGUACAUCAUGUUACUGUAUCUCUACUGCAGGCAAAUGUAACACAGGGGUAAGACUGUGUUUAUACAAACAUAGAAAAGGCACUGAGAAAAACUAUUUAAAACUUAAAGGAAGUCAGCAGGAAUAGAGGCUGUAUAGGGAAAGGAUCAGCUCAGGAGACUCAAGACCACGUUCUCAGCACAAAGGAGAUUUAUUUUCCCCAGUAGGACAGGGGGAAUGGACAAAGUCAGGAGAUAGAGAAAGAGGGAGAAGGGGAAGGGAACAAAGGAAAAGGAGCAGAGGUAUUUGCCUCUGGAUAGAGAGGAAACAAACAUGGCACAUAGGAAAAUGGCAGGUUAUAAGGGUACAAGGGGAAACUCCAUGUUAGGUCGAGGCGUUUAAUUUUAAUUGGACAUGCUAAUUAGGUGAGCCAAAGGGGGCUUUUGAUUUCUGGCCUUCAAUACUUUGAUAGCUGGACCUUGGUGGUCAGCCUCAGGAAGAUGAAGUGGCCAAAUAAGGGAAUGGACCUUGGUGGCUAGCUUGAAGAAUGGAAUCCAAUGAUUUUUAGCCAGGCAGAGUGACUGGGGGAGAAGCACGAGGCCUGCCAGAGCCAUGCCUGCCAAUCAAUCAGGCUGGAGUCCCUUCAGGGCUGCCGAACCUUUAGUGUCAGUGAGUGAGUAGUGAGUGAAUGUGGAGGCCCAGGACUUCUGCACUCCUGUAGACUUUAUAGACACCAUGCAUUUAGUUUACACUAGAUUUAUUUUUUCUUUCUUCAAUAAUAAUUUCAUCUUAUCAUACUGUAGCUUUUUGCCAUCAAAAACUAGUUUUUAAACUUUCAACUUUUUAGAACACUGCUAAAAGCCCAAACUCAUACAGUUGCACAAAAAUAGUUUCUUUAUAUCCUUAUUAUAUGAACUUUUUUCUAUUAAAAAAAUUGAACCAGUCUUUGGUCCAUGCUAACCUCAAACUCAAUUUGUAGUUAACAAUUGCCUUGGACUCCUGAUCCUUUUGCCGCCAACCUCUGAGUACUGGGAUUAGCAGCAUAAAUUACCAUAUCCAACUAAACUUACUAUUCUUUUACUCUUUUACUUUUAAAAUUUUUCAUUAGUAAUCAAGACACAAGCUUGGAGCUAUUCAGGGAUAAACCACCAGUAUCCUUGACCUUCUUGGUUCUUCUCUCUAGAAGGCUGCCAGGGUAAUAACUCACCCGGAGCUGCCAUCUCCUGUGACAAUGUCUUCUGCUGGAACCUCUCACGAAGGCCUUGCAACCUAUUGAGGGGCAUCCUCCUUUCAGUGUGCAGCAGGAACAGUGUGUCAUGGUGACUCAGCUCUUCUCCCACAAAGCACUCUUGAACUGCCAUGCCAGCAAAGCCGAGAAGCAUUGCUUGGAGAAACAUCUUUCAAGGGUUCCUGUCCUGCACUGGUGUUCCCACACAUCAGCCCUUUUGUACUCGCAUCAGAGUAUCAAAGUGACACCUUCCCUCCGAGCAUCACUCUGUGCUCCACCCAAGCCAUUGCUGUAACAGAAAGAUGACAAAACUACAGCCGUGAUAAUUUGCUUGCUUCCCCCUUCCUUUGUCACAGGUUUGCUUGUAAACAGACAACACACCUCGAAUAUUCCUCAAUCCGUGGAAAUGUUUGCUCUGGGAGUCACGUGUUCAAACUUUUGAAGAUUAUUGAGGGCUAUAGAAAUUUCUGCUAGAUUCUGUGGCCCUUCUUGGCCUUCUUCUCUUUCUUGGACUUCUCCAGUUUCCCUUUUCCUCUCUCGUCUCCAGCUCUGUGUCCCUCUUCUUGCGGUAACAAAUCUUCAUUAGUCACUUCCUCAGGAGCUCCUAAGUGUCAUCCUCGGGUCAAGUUUGUUGCCUGCUCAGCUGCAGCUUGUUGAGUUUUGCAAGCUCCUCAUCCUUGCAAUGGCUGGGGCAAAGCAGAGUGGUGCUUAGUGCAAUACCAACAAAAGGGCUGAUGCGUGGGAACAUCAGUAACAGUAAAGAAAUCCUUGAAAGACCUUUCUCCAAGAAGUGUUUCUUUGCUUUGCUGCUGUGGCAACUCAAGACAGCAUCGUGGGAGAAGAACUGAUUUACAUGCUACCAGGUCAUUGCCAGGACUUCUGUUUCUGUUGCACACUGGUGGUGCAGGCACAUUUGCGCACUUGAAAGCCUUGGGGGCUCUCACUAUGCCAGAUCACAAAGGGUUUCAGCUUGUAGCCUGCAUCAGUUACCCUCAAGCCAGACAGUGAUCUGUGUGUAAGCCUUAAAUCCAGCAUUGACUUGCCCUCCUAAAUGGGAAAGUCCCCUCAGGCAUCAUCACCAGAACAGGGGAAUUUUAUCUAUGUUGAACAUUUGCUCUAGUAAGUGAGUUUUCCCUGAAGUCAACUUGCCCAGAGUUUCCAAAAUUUCCUCAGCUGUCUUCACAUUGGUCUCCUGCUGGUGAAACUAGCAGUGGCUCUUGAAGUCCUGAUGAACAAUUCAAGAUUAAAUCAAGCACUAUGGCAACUGCUGCAAUCCACAGAUAGGAUCUUACCAUGAAGCUCAGGCUGUCCUGGAACCCACCCACCACAUAACCCCGGCUGGCCUCAGACUUGAGGCCAUCCUCCUGUCUUGGUCUCCUUGAUGUGUUAUAUUCAAGCUUGAGAAUCCUGAAGAUUUGUGUGCCACCAUCCUUUGUUCAAUAUACAGAAUCAUUCAAGUAAUUGACAUUAUAAGUUCAUGUUUAGUUCCUACUGAAACUACAUGAGUCCAUUACAACAUUGAGGGAAAGUGGGGUUGGUGUUCAGGGUUUCUCAAAAUUGAGGCACAAGUGGUACAUUACAUUUAGUCCAAAGCUGUCUUCUUCUGUAGCAAAAGGUAACUCUGCAGUAUACAGACAAACUGCAACCUAGUUUGAGACUAUAUUCUUUAACAAGUAGCCAAGUUUUUGCCAGUCAUAAUAGAUGAGUUUUUAAUCAAUGGUAGACUGCAAAACAAUGAAACAUGUCCAAAU
rnacentral:lncRNA from 1 species